AUUGAACGCUGGCGGCAUGCCUUACACAUGCAAGUCGAACGGUAACAGGUUAAGCUGACGAGUGGCGAACGGGUGAGUAAUGUAUCGGAACGUGCCCAGUCGUGGGGGAUAACUGCUCGAAAGAGCAGCUAAUACCGCAUACGACCUGAGGGUGAAAGCGGGGGAUCGCAAGACCUCGCGCGAUUGGAGCGGCCGAUAUCAGAUUAGGUAGUUGGUGAGGUAAAGGCUCACCAAGCCGACGAUCUGUAGCUGGUCUGAGAGGACGACCAGCCACACUGGGACUGAGAAACGGCCCAGACUCCUACGGGAGGCAGCAGUGGGGAAUUUUGGACAAAGGGCGCAAGCCUGAUCCAGCCAUGCCGCGUGCGGGAAGAAGGCCUUCGGGUUGUAAACCGCUUUUGUAAGGGAAGAAAAGGUUCUGGCUAAUACCUGGGACUCAUGACGGUACCUGAAGAAUAAGCACCGGCUAACUACGUG
rnacentral:rRNA from 1 species